rnacentral:rRNA from 1 species
UAGUUUGAUCCUGGCUCAGGAUAAACGCUGGCGGCGUGCCUAACCCAUGCAAGUCGAGCGAUCUGUAGCAAUACAGAAAGCGGCGGAAGGGUGAGUAACACGUAGAAAUCUACCUCGACGGAGGGAACAACCCCUCGAAAGAGAGGCUAAUACCCAAAAGGAUUCGCAAGAAUCAGAGUGCGUAAGUGCCUGUCGAGAGGAAUCUGCGGCCCAUCAGCUUGUUGGUGAGGUAAGAGCUUACCAAGGCUACGACGGGUAGGGGGUCUGAGAGGACGUCCCCCCACACUGGAACUGAAACACGGUCCAGACGCCUACGGGUGGCAGCAGGGAGGAAUAUUGGUCAAUGGGGGAAACCCCGAACCAGCAACGCCGCGUGAGGGAUGAAGGCCUUCGGGUCGUAAACCUCUUUUAAGGGAGACGAGAAAGGACGGUAUCCCUGGAAUAAGUCACGGCUAACUACGUGCCAGCAGCCGCGGUAAUACGUAGGUGACGAGCGUUAUCCGGAUUUACUGGGCGUAAAGCGCUUGUAGGUGGUCUUGUAAGUUGGGCGUGAAAACACCGGGCUUAACUCGGUGACGCCGUCCAAUACUGCGAGGCUGGAGGAUGUCAGAGGAAGGCGGAAUUCCUGGUGUAGUGGUGAAAUGCGUAGAUAUCAGGAGGAACACCCGUGGCGAAGGCGGCCUUCUGGGGCAUUCCUGACACUGAGAAGCGAAAGCU